UGGAGUCGCCUUUCACGGUAAAGAAAAAGGCAGCGGAGAAAGAAAAUGGGUGGAGAUUUGGUGUAAAAGAAGUGCAAAAACAGAGGCCGUGAAAGGAGAUCGGAAAGGCGCCGCUGUGAAAUGUCCUGCGCGCGCCGGCUGCUGCUCCGCUCCACAAACAGAGCCGGAUGGUCCCAAUGCCCGCGAUUGUACUGAUGCCACCGCCCAGUUAUUAAAUCGCUGUAGUUAACUAUACCCUGUAGAGUAGGGGACGGGACGCAGACAUUAGUUAGAGAGGGAGAACGGGAUGUCGGGCUGGCGCACAAACAGCGCGCGUACUUCCAAAUGCGUCCCCGCCUCCUUAUUUCACCGACUGCGUUCCUGGAAGGACCCAUUAAAGUGUGACACUCGUGUCCACGCGGGCUUUUGAGUCUGACGGGACGGGAUGCGCACGCGCGGCGUCCUGCGCCGGCUGCUGUUGUCACUCGCGCCGUACUGCAGACUCCGUCAUGGAGUACUUGGCGCACGCCAGUUGUUGUUCCUUCUACUUCAUUAACUAAGGACACCAUCCUGCUGCAUUCGUAACGUGCCAUUUCUGGAAAACAGAGGUUUUAUCCACAAACUCGGACAAAGCCUGAAGUGUGAAAGUCUAAUCCGACGUCCUUUAUAGCUUGUCGUGAACGCGACAAAAGAGCCACAAGAAAAGGUUUGGGGCCGCAACCCGUUUAUUAUUCCAGGCUGCAAAAAUGGAUAUUAAUGAGGCACAGAUAUGCACAGACUGGAGUCCACAACUGAACUGACUUGCUGGGACAAAGAUGGCGGCUUUGAGGGAGAGCAGAGGAAGUGACAUCAUCCAUAGGGCCGGAAAUGGGAAGUGGCAUCACUGGGGGGCUGUAAACAGGAAUUGACAUCAUCCAUGGGGCUGGAAACCGGAAGUGAUGUCAUCAGUAGGGGCAGGGCUGGAAGUGAUGUCAUUGGGCCCAGAGACCAGAAAGUGACAUCAGCAGUGGGGGUGGAAACUGAAAGUGGUGUCAUUGAGCCCGGGGCUGGAAGUGAUGUCAUCAGUAGGGGUGGGGCUAGAACUGAUGUCAUCGGGGCCAGGACUGGAAUUGACGUCAUCUGUGGGGCUGGAAACUGGAAGUGAUGUCAUUAAGGCCGGACCCGAAAGUGACAUCAUCAGGGCCAGGUGGCAUUUCC